GUCGUGGGAGAAGUCGGGGCAACUCGGCGAGUAAACCGGCGCACGGGUGCCUAACACAUGGAUAACCUGCCUUGAAGUCCGGGAUAACCCGUCCCAAGACGGGCUAAUACCAGAUAAGACCACGAAGAGUUCGCUGUUCGGGGUAAAAGGUGGCCUCUGCUCUUGCAAGCUAUCACUUCGAGAGGGGUCCGCGUCCUAUCAGCUAGUUGGUGAGGUAAUGGCUCACCAAGGCUGAGACGGGUAGCUGGUCUGAGAGGAUGGUCAGCCACACUGGGACUGAGACACGGCCCAGAGUCCUACGGGAUGCAGCAGUCAGGAAUCUUGCGCAAUGGAGGAAACUCUGACGCAGCGACGCCGCGUGGGUGAUGAAGGCCUUCGGGUCGUAAAGCCCUGUCGGAGGGGAAGAAAAGCUGGUUGGCUAAUAUCCAACCGGCCCUUGACGGUACCCUCAAAGGAAGCACCGGCUAACUCCGUGCCAGCAGCCGCGGUAAGACGGAGGGUGCAAGCGUUGUUCGGAUUGACUGGGCGUAAAGGGCGCGUAGGCGGCGGGGUAAGUCUGGUGUGAAAUCUAGGAGCUCAACUCCUAAACUGCACUGGAUACUGCUCUGCUAGAGGACUGGAGAGGAGACUGGAAUUCACGGUGUAGCAGUGAAAUGCGUAGAUAUCGUGAGGAAGACCAGUGGCGAAGGCGGGUCUCUGGACAGUUCCUGACGCUGAGGCGCGAAGGCCAGGGGAGCAAACGGGAUUAGAUACCCCGGUAGUCCUGGCAGUAAACGGUGCACGUUUGGUGUGCGCGGAUUCGACCCCGUGCGUGCCGGAGCUAACGCGUUAAACGUGCCGCCUGAGAAGUACGGUCGCAAGAUUAAAAACUCAAGAAAUUGACGGGGGC
rnacentral:rRNA from 1 species